UACGGGGGGAGCAAGCGUUGUCCGGAAUUACUGGGCGUAAAGCGUGCGCAGGCGGUUUUGUAAGACAGAUGUGAAAUCCCCGGGCUUAACCUGGGAACUGCAUUUGUGACUGCAAGGCUAGAGUACGGCAGAGGGGGGUAGAAUUCCACGUGUAGCAGUGAAAUGCGUAGAUAUGUGGAGGAAUACCGAUGGCGAAGGCAGCCCCCUGGGUCGAUACUGACGCUCAUGCACGAAAGCGUGGGGAGCAAACAGG
rnacentral:rRNA from 1 species